UGCGUAGGUGGCAAGCGUUGUCCGGAUUUACUGGGUGUAAAGGGCGUGCAGCCGGGCUGACAAGUCAGAUGUGAAAUCCCGCGGCUCAACCGCGGAACUGCAUUUGAAACUGUCAGUCUUGAGUACCGGAGAGGUCAUCGGAAUUCCUUGUGUAGCGGUGAAAUGCGUAGAUAUAAGGAAGAACACCAGUGGCGAAGGCGGAUGACUGGACGGCAACUGACGGUGAGGCGCGAAAGCGUGGGGGGCAAACAGG
rnacentral:rRNA from 1 species